GACGAACGCUGGCGGCGUGCCUAAUACAUGCAAGUAGAACGCUGAAGAGAGGAGCUUGUUCUUCUUGGAUGAGUUGCGAACGGGUGAGUAACGCGUAUGUAACCUGCUUUGUAUCGGGGGAUAACUAUUGGACACGAUAGCUAAUACCGCAUAACAAUGGAUGGCACAUGUCAUUUAUUUGAAAUUGGCCGUUUCUCCACUACAAGAUGGACCUUCGUUGUAUUAGCUAGUAGGUGAGGUAAUGGCUCACCUAGGCGACGAUACAUAGCCGACCUGAGAGGGUGAUCGGCCACACUGGGAGUGAGACACGGCCCAGACUCCUACGGGAGGCAGCAGUAGGGAAUCUUCGGCAAGGGGGGCAACCCUGACCGAGCAACGCCGAGUGAGUGAAGAAGGAUGUCGGAUCGUAAAGCUCGGUUGUAAGUCAAGAACGGGGGUGAGAGUGGAAAGUUCACACUGUGACGGUAGCUGACAAGAAAGGGACGGCUAACUACGUG
rnacentral:rRNA from 1 species